CUAAUACUCGAUGCACUCAAUAUUUCGUUCUGUUGAUUAAAGCUUAGGCGCUUUGGUAUGGGCCUGCGGUCCAUCAGGUACUUGGUACGGGUAAUGGCCUACCAAUGCGAAGACGGAUAGGGGGCGUGAUGAUCGCGAUCCCCCACACUGGCACUGAGACACGGGCCAGACUCCUACUGGAGGCAGGAGUGACGGAUAUUGCGCAAUGGACUGAAGUCUGACGCAGCGACGCCGCGUGGAUGAUGAAGUGCCUUCCGGUUGUAAAGCCCUUCUAUGGGGGAAGAGAAAGGACGGUACCCCAUGAAUAAGCCCCGGCUAACUACGUGCCAGCAGGCGCGGCUACAACGUAGGGGGCAAGCGUUAUCCGGAUUUACUGGGCGUAAAGAGCGUUGAGGCGGUUCUGUAAGUUGGGCGUGAAAGCCCCGGGCUCAACCCGGGGAUGUCGUUCAAUACUGCAGGGCUUGAGGGCAGCAGAGGGAGCUGGAUUCCCGGUGUAUCGGUGAAAUGCGUAGACAUCGGGAGGAACACCAGUGGCGAAGGCGGCCUCCUGGGCUGUUCCUGACGCUGAAGGCGAAAGCUAGGGUAGCGAACGGGAUUAGUAACCCCGGUAGUCCUAGCUGUAAACGAUGGAUGCUAGAUGUAGGGGGUAUAGAUUCCCUCUGUGUCGCAGUUAACGCGUUAAGCAUCCCGCCUGGGGAGUACGGUCGCAAGGCUAAAACUCAAACGAAUUGACGGGGGCCCGCACAAGCAGCGGAGCGUGUGGUUUAAUUCGAUGCUACACGAAGAACCUUACCUGGGCAUUGACAUGUAUGUGUUAGUGAAGUGUAAGCGGAUCGACCCAUCGGGGAGCAUACACAGGUGCUGCAUGGCUGUCGUCAGCUCGUGCCGUGAGGUGUCGGGUUAAGUCCCGUAACGAGCGCAACCCCUGUCUUUAGUUACAAGUGUUUAGGGAGACUGCCGCCGGUAAGCCGGAUGAAGGUGGGGAUGACGUCAAGUCAGCAUGGCCUUUAUGUCCAGGGCUACACACACGCUACAAUGGCCGGUACAAUGGGUUGCCAAACCGUGAGGUGGAGCCAAUCCCGUAAAGCCGGUGUCAGUUCGAAUUGUAGACUGCAACUCGUUUACAUGAAGUCGGAGUUGCUAGUGAUCGCGGAUCAGCAUGCCACGGUGAAUAUGUUCCCGGGCCUUGUACACACCGCCCGUCACGUCAUGGAAGCUGGCAACACCUGUAGCCGGUGAGCCAACCCG
rnacentral:rRNA from 1 species